AUGGUUUCUCUCUGGAAACGCUUUAAUACGGCAACGCUACAUUCUGACAUUCUGGUCUCAUCAGUCAACUCUGCCUGUCAUUCUGACUGUCUGGUCUCAUCAGUCAACUCUGCCUGUCAUUCUGACUGUCUGGUCUCAUCAGUCAACUCUGCCUGUCAUUCUGACUGUCUGGUCUCAUCAGUCAACUCUGCCUGUCAUUCUGACUGUCUGGUCUCAUCAGUCAACUCUGCCUGUCAUUCUGACUGUCUGGUCCCAUCAGUCAACUCUGCCUGUCAUUCUGACUGUCUGGUCUCAUCAGUCAACUCUGCCUGUCAUUCUGACUGUCUGGUCUCAUCAGUCAACUCUGCCUGUCAUUCUGACAUUCUGGUCUCAUCAGUCAACUCUGCCUGUCAUUCUGACUGUCUGGUCUCAUCAGUCAACUCUGCCUGUCAUUCUGACAUUCUGGUCUCAUCAGUCAACUCUGCCUGUCAUUCUGACUGUCUGGUCUCAUCAGUCAACUCUGCCUGUCAUUCUGACUGUCUGGUCUCAUCAGUCAACUCUGCCUGUCAUUCUGACUGUCUGGUCUCAUCAGUCAACUCUGCCUGUCAUUCUGACAUUCUGGUCUCAUCAGUCAACUCUGCCUGUCAUUCUGACUGUCUGGUCUCAUCAGUCAACUCUGCCUGUCAUUCUGACUGUCUGGUCUCAUCAGUCAACUCUGCCUGUCAUUCUGACUGUCUGGUCUCAUCAGUCAACUCUGCCUGUCAUUCUGACUGUCUGGUCUCAUCAGUCAACUCUGCCUGUCAUUCUGACUGUCUGGUCCCAUCAGUCAACUCUGCCUGUCAUUCUGACAGUCUGGUCCCAUCAGUCAACUCUGCCUGUCAUUCUGACUGGAUGGUCCCAUUGGUCAACUCUGCCUGUCAUUCUGACUGGAUGAUCUCAUUGGUCAACUCUGCCUGUCAUUCUGACAUUCUGGUCCCAUUGGUCAACUCUGCCUGUCAUUCUGACUGGAUGGUCCCAUCGGUCAAAUCUGCCUGUCAUUCUGACAUUCUGGUCCCAUUGGUCAAGUCUGCCUGUCAUUCUGACUGUACUGUCUGUGUCUGA
rnacentral:lncRNA from 1 species